rnacentral:rRNA from 1 species
UACGUAGGGCGCAAGCGUUGUCCGGAAUUAUUGGGCGUAAAGAGCUCGUAGGCGGCUUGUCACUUCGGGUGUGAAAGCCCGGGGCUUAACCCCGGGUCUGCAUUCGAUACGGGCUAGCUAGAGUGUGGUAGGGGAGAUCGGAAUUCCUGGUGUAGCGGUGAAAUGCGCAGAUAUCAGGAGGAACACCAGUGGGGAAGGCGGAGCUCUGGGCCAUUACUGACGCUGAGGAGCGAAAGCGUGGGGAGCGAACAGG